rnacentral:rRNA from 1 species
GAUGAACGCUGGCGGCGUGCCUAAUACAUGCAAGUCGAGCGAACGGACGAGAAGCUUGCUUCUCUGAUGUUAGCGGCGGACGGGUGAGUAACACGUGGAUAACCUACCUAUAAGACUGGGAUAACUUCGGGAAACCGGAGCUAAUACCGGAUAAUAUUUUGAACCGCAUGGUUCAAAAGUGAAAGACGGUCUUGCUGUCACUUAUAGAUGGAUCCGCGCUGCAUUAGCUAGUUGGUAAGGUAACGGCUUACCAAGGCAACGAUGCAUAGCCGACCUGAGAGGGUGAUCGGCCACACUGGAACUGAGACACGGUCCAGACUCCUACGGGAGGCAGCAGUAGGGAAUCUUCCGCAAUGGGCGAAAGCCUGACGGAGCAACGCCGCGUGAGUGAUGAAGGUCUUCGGAUCGUAAAACUCUGUUAUUAGGGAAGAACAGAUGUGUAAGUAACUGUGCACAUCGUGACGGUACCUAAUCAGAAAGCCACGGCUAACUACGUG